UGGGAAGCCCGUUGGAAGCCAGUGACCAACACCCUCCUGGUUCAAUGGUGUCCUUUCCACGGCAUUGUCACUGGUGGAACUGAUUGUCAUUGCUUGUACAUUCGCUCGCAGCCAGUUCCACAGGUCUGAAAGGACUCUGCUCCCAGGGCAGAGUCUUGGAGCACAACUGUCACCAUCAUUCAUCCAUAGAACUCUUUUCAUCUUGCGGGACUGAAACUCUACAUCCAUCAAACAAGACUCCCCCUUCUUCUCCCCUCCCAGCCCCUGGCAGCCACCCUCGUACUUUCUGUCUCUGAUUUUGGAUACUCUAAGUGCCUCACACGGGGCGGGGCAUCAGGCAGAGUUUGACUUUUGUGACUUGCUUAUUUCACUCAGCGUCA